UUAAACUCUUGGGUAUGGAAGUAUAAAAAGUAAAAUUUGAUUGAUCAAUUUGUUGGCCUCAUUUUUCAUACUUUGUAGAAGUAGGCUUUUAUUUUUUUUCAUCUCAUGCGUCUUAUUUUUUCUCCAAAAUAUCAUUUGUUCUGAUUCUGUAAUCCAAACCAUGUUUUGGAUUAUGUAAUUCGAAUUCUUGUAUUGAUAGAUUUACAGAACAUUGACGUAUAAUAUUAAGAAGAUAUAAUUAGAAAUGACAAAAAAUAAAAUUAUUGUAAAAAAAAAAUGUAAAAAGACAAAAAUGAAUUAAAUUCUCAUUUUAUUAAUAGAUCAUAUCUUUCAUAGUAUAUUUACAUUAACAAUGAAGUUUAGUACAAAAAUGUAUUAAACACUUAAUGCUAAAUCUAUGGUGCUAGAAGAUAGAGGGGGAAGGAGGCUGAGGUAAGGUUUGAUUCCUCUCUUGGUAGAAGCAGACUUUGGUGAUCAACCUUACACCAAGACAUAUCAACCUUACUCUCAAACAAAUGGUGCUAGUUUAUAGAGUGACACCUUGCCAUUUGAGUAACUUUUUUGUAUGAAAUGUCAAUGGUAGAAGCACGUUAUAGAAGAAAAGCGAAUGAGAGAAUGUG
rnacentral:lncRNA from 1 species